CUAACAAACCAUACAUCAAUGGGAAGCUUAUUUAUUCAGCUUCCAGAUGAUGUAUAAAUCUCAAUUUUGAAAAAUUGACACUUAAGACUGGUUUUGUGGUUCAGGGUCACAUAUAUAGUUCAUUGUGUAUUCUGCUAGAUAUAUUGCUCGAUAAAAGGUCAACCUAGUGUUAAUAGACUCAAUGAACGGAACUCUCUCUUUCACACACACAUACGCAGACACAAUUACCUUGAGCAGUGAGCCUGAACCACACAAAUCUUCCCUGAGGGAGAACAGCUGUAGUGAGCGGGUCACCGUUAUCCAGCUCAACAGGCCCAGAGGGUCCAAGGCUUUCCUGUUGCUCCUGCCCAUUAGAGGAUCUCAGCAGUGGGCAUGCGCUCGUGUACUAGCCCUUCACCUUUAAUCUGUGUCUCAUUAUGCUGGUAGAGGAACUAGGGGUGAGGAACAUAAGACUUAGAACGUUACUCUCCAGGGCAAGACGACCCUUUUGGUUUCAUGCCAAGUAAAAAAAAAAAAAAAAAAAAAA